rnacentral:rRNA from 1 species
CUUUGGACAAUGGUAGGAGAGCGUUCUAAGGGCGUUGAAGCAUGAUCGUAAGGACAUGUGGAGCGCUUAGAAGUGAGAAUGCCGGUGUGAGUAGCGAAAGACGGGUGAGAAUCCCGUCCACCGAUUGACUAAGGUUUCCAGAGGAAGGCUCGUCCGCUCUGGGUUAGUCGGGUCCUAAGCUGAGGCCGACAGGCGUAGGCGAUGGAUAACAGGUUGAUAUUCCUGUACCACCUAUAAUCGUUUUAAUCGAUGGGGGGACGCAGUAGGAUAGGCGAAGCGUGCGAUUGGAUUGCACGUCUAAGCAGUAAGGCUGAGUAUUAGGCAAAUCCGGUACUCGUUAAGGCUGAGCUGUGAUGGGGAGAAGACAUUGUGUCUUCGAGUCGUUGAUUUCACACUGCCGAGAAAAGCCUCUAGAUAGAAAAUAGGUGCCCGUACCGCAAACCGACACAGGUAGUCAAGAUGAGAAUUCUAAGGUGAGCGAGCGAACUCUCGUUAAGGAACUCGGCAAAAUGACCCCGUAACUUCGGGAGAAGGGGUGCUCUUUAGGGUUAACGCCCAGAAGAGCCGCAGUGAAUAGGCCCAAGCGACUGUUUAUCAAAAACACAGGUCUCUGCUAAACCGUAAGGUGAUGUAUAGGGGCUGACGCCUGCCCGGUGCUGGAAGGUUAAGAGGAGUGGUUAGCUUCUGCGAAGCUACGAAUCGAAGCCCCAGUAAACGGCGGCCGUAACUAUAACGGUCCUAAGGUAGCGAAAUUCCUUGUCGGGUAAGUUCCGACCCGCACGAAAGGCGUAACGAUUUGGGCACUGUCUCAACGAGAGACUCGGUGAAAUCAUAGUACCUGUGAAGAUGCAGGUUACCCGCGACAGGACGGAAAGACCCCGUGGAGCUUUACUGUAGCCUGAUAUUGAAAUUCGGCACAGCUUGUACAGGAUAGGUAGGAGCCUUUGAAACGUGAGCGCUAGCUUACGUGGAGGCGCUGGUGGGAUACUACCCUAGCUGUGUUGGCUUUCUAACCCGCACCACUUAUCGUGGUGGGAGACAGUGUCAGGCGGGCAGUUUGACUGGGGCGGUCGCCUCCUAAAAGGUAACGGAGGCGCUCAAAGGUUCCCUCAGAAUGGUUGGAAAUCA